AUGAAGGGUGUUGUUGCUGGCCUUGUCAUGGUGCUCAGUGCUCUUGCCGGGUUCGGGCCUGGCAAGACGGCGAGAGCUGUGCCGGCGGUCUACGUGCUCGGGGACUCGUCACUGGACGUGGGCAACAACAACUACUUACCAGGAGAAAGUGUCCCAAGGGCCAACAAGCCCUUCCAUGGCGUCGACUUCCCUGGACCCGGAGGACCUAAGCCCACCGGAAGGUUCAGCAAUGGCUACAAUGUGGCCGACUUCAUUGGAGCUGGGAUUCUCGAUUCAACGGAUCUGUACAUGAUGGGCGCGAGGAAGAUCGGCAUCAUCAACGUUGGCCUGUCCGGGUGUAUCCCAAUGGUCCGCGCGCACGACGCGACCGGCACAUGCAACGACGGCACAAACGAGCUAGCGGCCGGGUUCAAUGGCGCCCUCGAGUCCUUCCUCGCCGACCUAGCGGCCAGGCUGCCGGGCCUCGCCUGCUCCCUCGCCGACGGCUUUGCCCACAGGCAAGCCCUCAUCGCUGACCCGCAGGCUCAAGGCUUCGUGAACGCGACCAGCGCGUGCUGCGGGAGCGGGAGGCUCGGCGGGGAGGCCCGUUGCCUGCCCACCUCGAACCUCUGCGGCGACCGUGAUGGCUACGUGUACUGGGACUGGGUGCACGCCACCCAGCGGGCUGCUGAGAUGGCCGCCGAGGCGUUCUUCCAUGGCCCGGCGCAGUUUACCAUGCCUCUUACUUUCAAGCAGCUGGCAGAGAAGAAAGGGGCGGACCUAAUGGAACAAUAA
rnacentral:rRNA from 1 species